rnacentral:lncRNA from 1 species
ACGCAUUCUUUCUAUUUGAAUUUUCCAGGAAAGUGAGCUCAUCAAAAUUGUGGAAUGCUGCAAAUGGAUGAAUUAUGUUUGAAAACAACAUCUCCACGAGCUUUCCAAAUCAAAGUGGAGAUCAACGCGAUCAGAGUACACUUUGCAGACUCGUCUUAAUAUGUAUACUGACUAGAUCGGAUGCUUAAGCAGCGAUUUCGAUAUGCUACAGGCCUACACAGGACGCAGUAAAUACGCGAUG